UCAAACCUGAGAAGCAACUCUUUGGACCAAUAGCAAAGUGAUUUCUCAGCUGUGAACUAACAGUUUGCUUUUGGAAUGAAUCAUGUGCUUUCAAUUUUCCACUUCAAAAACACACACUUCAGCAGAAGUCACUUUACAGCAAAUGAAAGAAGAAAUUUCCCCAGGGGAGAAAGGUGUUUGUUACUUAGAGGAGGGUAGAAGGGAUGACUUAGGAGCAUCUAUUUUUCCCAACUGUGAAGUCACCAGGAGGUCUUUUUGAUAUUAUUGCCCUUCUAGCCAAUAAGGCAGUGGUUUGCAAAAUGCUAGCAAUUAAGCAGUGCUCUAAUUGGCUGAAUUGUAUCUCUCUGUCCAGAGUUCUGGGAGAGAACAUAGGCAGGGUUAGGCAUGGGAGAAUGUGUCUGACUCACAACGAAGGAAUGAAGCAUGCCGGGCCUCAUCUCGGACCUGCACACUGCCCCUCAUUAUGUUCAUGAUCGGCAGGAAAUGGAUAAAGAGUGGCCAGAAGGUGAAAAAGAAGAGAUGGCCCCCUGAAAGGGACAUCCACAUUUAUUUGAGCACCUACCAGGAUACCUGCUUUGGGAGCCUUCUGCUGCUGCGUGAGAUCCCUGGCUACCCUGGAGAGACAUCAGACAACAAGUGAGAUGCCCAAGAGCCCUAGCUGUCUUUGUCUUUGCAGCCCAAGCUCCAGACAUGUACUGAAGAAGCUUUAAGGAUAAAUUCAGUCCCAACUACUCCCUGGCUACAACUAUGAGACAGACCCUCCCAAGUCAGAACUGCCUAGCCAAGCUCAGGCAACUCCAAGAUUUAAGAGCAAAAUAAAAGAUAGUUAUUGCUUUAAGCUACUGUUUGGGUGGUUUGUU
rnacentral:lncRNA from 1 species